CAGACAGAUUCAGUUACAGUAAUGUCUCUUAUUACUCUUCUAAGGUAACACCUCACUUAAUAUAAUUGCGAUCUGUUGUGUGGCUCUUGGAUCUCUGAUGGUUGUAACUGCAAUUCUGAUGGUCUGGAUCUACAGGAAACACAAAAACACAAAUCAACAAGUUCAAAGCGGUGAAGGGGAGCUCAUUUAUGCCGAUACAACAUUUCACAAAAGACAAACACUUAAACCGGGAGCUCCAGUAGAGGAUGAUGUGGUGUAUGCAGGAAUCAUGAGUCGAUGAACAAACUUUGAACACUGAGUGAUGCUGAGAAGAUAAAAAAUAUCUGACCACAGUCACAGAUGAGUUCAGAGUAAAAACAGAAGUUCAGAUAGUUCUGGAUCUUUAGUUGUUAUCAGUAGAAACACACAGUUUCUAUAACAAAACCAUUUAAAGUGAUAAUGUUAUUAAAAAACUUACAGGCUUCAUUCAAUGCUUUAUUCUGAUUGGUUAAAAAGAUGUUAUAAUUUCCUCAUAUACAGCAGGGGUGUGAAACGGCCUGCAGGCCAAACAUGGGCCACUACA